AUCCUGGCUCAGGAUGAACGCUAGCUACAGGCUUAACACAUGCAAGUCGAGGGGCAGCAUGUUGGUUGCUUGCAACCGAUGAUGGCGACCGGCGCACGGGUGAGUAACGCGUAUCCAACCUACCCCUUGUCCAUCGGAUAACCCGUCGAAAGGCGGCCUAACACGAUAUGCGGUUCACAGCAGGCAUCUAACGUGAACGAAAUGUGAAGGAGAAGGAUGGGG
rnacentral:rRNA from 1 species